GGUGAGUAACACGUGGAUAACCUACCUAUAAGACUGGGAUAACUUCGGGAAACCGGAGCUAAUACCGGAUAAUAUUUUAAACCGCAUGGUUCAAAAGUGAAAGACGGUCUUGCUGUCACUUAUAGAUGGAUCCGCGCUGCAUUAGCUAGUUGGUAAGGUAACGGCUUACCAAGGCAACGAUGCAUAGCCGACCUGAGAGGGUGAUCGGCCACACUGGAACUGAGACACGGUCCAG
rnacentral:rRNA from 1 species